GGGGCAGGGUGAGUCGACCCCUAAGGCGAGGCCGAAAGGCGUAGUCGAUGGGAAACAGGUUAAUAUUCCUGUACUUGGUGUUACUGCGAAGGGGGGACGGAGAAGGCUAUGUCAGCCGGGCGACGGUUGUCCCGGUUUAAGCAUGUAGGCGGAGGUUCCAGGUAAAUCCGGUACCUUAUUAACGCUGAGGUGUGAUGACGAGGCACUACGGUGCUGAAGUGAUAAAUGCCCUGCUUCCAGGAAAAGCCUCUAAGCAUCAGGUAACACGAAAUCGUACCCCAAACCGACACAGGUGGUCAGGUAGAGAAUACCAAGGCGCUUGAGAGAACUCGGGUGAAGGAACUAGGCAAAAUGGUGCCGUAACUUCGGGAGAAGGCACGCUGAUAUGUAGGUGAAGUCCCUGCGGACGGAGCUGAAAUCAGUCGAAGAUACCAGCUGGCUGCAACUGUUUAUUAAAAACACAGCACUGUGCAAACACGAAAGUGGACGUAUACGGUGUGACGCCUGCCCGGUGCCGGAAGGUUAAUUGAUGGGGUUAGCGGCAACGCGAAGCUCUUGAUCGAAGCCCCGGUAAACGGCGGCCGUAACUAUAACGGUCCUAAGGUAGCGAAAUUCCUUGUCGGGUAAGUUCCGACCUGCACGAAUGGCGUAAUGAUGGCCAGGCUGUCUCCACCCGAGACUCAGUGAAAUUGAACUCGCUGUGAAGAUGCAGUGUACCCGCGGCAAGACGGAAAGACCCCGUGAACCUUUACUAUAGCUUGACACUGAACACUGGUCCUUGAUGUGUAGGAUAGGUGGGAGGCUUUGAAGCGUGGACGCCAGUCUGCGUGGAGCCAACCUUGAAAUACCACCCUUUAAUGGCUGGUGUUCUAACGUAGACCCGUAAUCCGGGUUGCGGACAGUGUCUGGUGGGUAGUUUGACUGGGGCGGUCUCCUCCCAAAGAGUAACGGAGGAGCACGAAGGUUGGCUAAUCCUGGUCGGACAUCAGGAGGUUAGUGCAAUGGCAUAAGCCAGCUUGACUGCGAGCGUGACGGCGCGAGCAGGUGCGAAAGCAGGUCAUAGUGAUCCGGUGGUUCUGAAUGGAAGGGCCAUCGCUCAACGGAUAAAAGGUACUCCGGGGAUAACAGGCUGAUACCGCCCAAGAGUUCAUAUCGACGGCGGUGUUUGGCACCUCGAUGUCGGCUCAUCACAUCCUGGGGCUGAAGUAGGUCCCAAGGGUAUGGCUGUUCGCCAUUUAAAGUGGUACGCGAGCUGGGUUUAGAACGUCGUGAGACAGUUCGGUCCCUAUCUGCCGUGGGCGCUGGAGAAUUGAGGGGGGCUGCUCCUAGUACGAGAGGACCGGAGUGGACGCAUCACUGGUGUUCGGGUUGUCAUGCCAAUGGCACUGCCCGGUAGCUAAAUGCGGAAGAGAUAAGUGCUGAAAGCAUCUAAGCACGAAACUUGCCCCGAGAUGAGUUCUCCCUGAGACUUUAAGUCUCCUGAAGGAACGUUGAAGAC
rnacentral:rRNA from 1 species